UACCUCAUUACCAGCCUAUCAGGCCCAGCCAGGGAACAGACCCUAAUAAGGUACCGGAUAUCAAGUUAUGUUAUAAAAGACCCUCGACCCCUUUGUUCAGUGAGGUUCCGAGUGUUGAGGACACUUGUCUUUUUUGUCCGGCUGAAGGAUUAAUCACUCUGAGGCUGCCUCCCUACCCUUCGAGUCAAAGAUAGGGGUGCGCGAGUUCUGAGCAUGCUCCGAGUUCUCGUGUGUCUUUACGCUGUUAUCGUUGCUGAAUUUUUAUUGAUCCAGAAAAGAACCUUCCCAUGAAUGCCUUCUUUGCUUAAGAGCAUUUGGUGAGAGACCUUACAAAUGAGGCAUAAUGGCACAACAGUUGGAUGGAGGAAGCACAAGGAAACAAGCAGACAAUACUAGUCAUCACAUAAGCAUGCCAUUUUUAAAAUACUGUGCAAAACUGGUGGUCAAGGCUAUCAAUAGAGUGCUGCUCCACAGAGUCAUCCACCUUGUCGAUGUCAAUGCGGUCAUCGAGGGGUUUGGCGCCCUGGGCUUCCCCACUGUGGGGGGGCUAUCAAUGGCACACACAUCCCAAUCUGUGCCCCGGAAUACCAGGCCUCCCUCUAUAUCAACUGCAAGGGACACUUUUCCAUUAUCCUGCAGGCUGUGUCUGACCACUGGGGCCAGUUUGUGGACAUCAAGGUGGGCUGAUCCAGCAAAGCACACGACGCACGUGUGUAUCACAACUCCUCCAUUUGCCAGAGGCUGCACGUCAGGACUUUCUUCCCCGACCACCACAUCAGGGUUGGGGAUGUGGACAUGUCUGUGUGCCUGGUGGGUGAUGCGGCCUAUCCUCUACAAUUCUGGCUCAUGAAGUCAUACACAGGACACCUCAACCCUCCCCGAUAGGCAUUUAAUGCCAGGCUCAGCAGAGCCCGCAUCAUGGGGGAGGGUGCUUUCGGCUGGCUGAAGGCCCAAUUUAGAUGCCUCCUCACCUGCCUGGACCUCUCCAAGCAGACUAUUCUGCACAUGGUGGCAGCGUACUGUGUGCUGCACAAUUUGUGCGAGAGGAAGGGGGAGGCUUUCCUGCCAGUCUGGGUGGCAGAUGCCAAGCACUUGGCUGGCCUGUACAUGCAGCCCCACAUGGCUGCCAGCCAGGAGGCCCAGCGGGAGGCUGUCCAUAUCCAGGAGGCCCUGUGGGAGAGCUUCCACCUGGAGGAGGACUAAAGUCUCCCUUUUGUGCCCCACUGGGGGCUUGUGCCUCAUUCCACCCUCACGUCCUUCCAUUUACCUCUCCCUAACCCCCCUUCCUGAUAUAUAAUAAAGACAUGUG